GCCAGGUGUGGUGGUGCGUGCCUGUAAUCCCAGUUAUUUGGGAGGCUGAGGCAGGAGAAUCACUUGAACCCAGGAGGUGGAGGUUGCAGUGAGCCGAGAUCGUGCCACUGAACCCCAGCCUGGGUGACAGAGUAAGAUUCUGUCUCAA
ensembl:misc_RNA Metazoa_SRP Metazoan signal recognition particle RNA